rnacentral:lncRNA from 1 species
UUACCUCUCAAGGUAACAUCACAAGGCUCUAACAUCCCUGCACAAAGGUCAAAAAUCACCCAACCUAAGAGACAAAAGUACGAUAGAUUCAUCCUGCUUUUGUAAUACCCCAGUGCUAAAGGGCCUGAUACAUAACUAGGUUAGGUCCAUUUGAUAGGCCUAGAAGUAAUAGUCGGCCCAAAAAAAGCCACAUGGAUUUUAAAGUAGAAAAAUAAAAGAAGAGAUGGGAAGAAGAAUAGGAGUCUUCUUCUUCCUGAUUCCAUCAGAAGAGAUCAACCUCAAGAAGAAGAUUGCAAGCUCGAUUCUGCUACUAUUUAAAGGCACCUAAACCCUUUGUUCUUCUUGCCAAAAGCCACCAUCACCAUUGCCGUUUUCCUCCUUCUCAUCCUCUUAGAAAACCAUCGAUCAUACUCACUAUGACCAC